CCUACGGGAGGCAGCAGUGGGGAAUAUUGGGCAAUGGGCGCAAGCCUGACCCAGCAACGCCGCGUGAAGGAAGAAGGCUUUCGGGUUGUAAACUUCUUUUGUCAGGGACGAAGCAAGUGACGGUACCCGACGAAUAAGCCACGGCUAACUACGUGCCAGCAGCCGCGGUAAUACGUAGGUGGCAAGCGUUAUCCGGAUUUACUGGGUGUAAAGGGCGUGUAGGCGGGACUGCAAGUCAGAUGUGAAAACCACGGGCUCAACCUGUGGCCUGCAUUUGAAACUGUAGUUCUUGAGUACUGGAGAGGCAGACGGAAUUCCUAGUGUAGCGGUGAAAUGCGUAGAUAUUAGGAGGAACACCAGUGGCGAAGGCGGUCUGCUGGACAGUAACUGACGCUGAGGCGCGAAAGCGUGGGGAGCAAACAGGAUUAGAUACCCGGGUAGUC
rnacentral:rRNA from 1 species